UCUUGCUAAGACUUCCAGUACUAUGUUGAAUAGGAGUGGUGAGAGGGAACAUCCUGUUCUUAAGGGGAAUGCUUCCAGCAUUUCCUCAUUCAGGAUGACAUUGGCUGUGGGUUUUCCAUAAAUGGCUUUUACUAUUUUGAGGUUCUGGUAUGAAGAUGGCUUCAUAGCAUCAUCCCUCCUCCUGAUGGCUGGAUUCCCUCCUCCAUUUUUUUUUUUUUUGGAAUAGUUUAAGUAGAAUUGAUACCAGCUUUUCUGUUAAAAUUUGGUUGUGAAUCCAUCUGGUCCAGGUUAGUUGCAAGGGUCUGCUGCUUCACUCCUGAAGUCAGCUAGACCAUGAACCCACCAGGAGGAACAAACUCUGGACACACCAUCUUUAAGAACUGUAACACUCACUGGGAGGAGCCACAGCUUCAUUCUUGAAGUCAGCAAGACCAAGAACCUACCGGAAGUAACCAAUUCCAGAUACAAUGUCAUACUACAUUUCAACAAACAUUGUGCUACAAUACAAUGCAUUUAAAAUAUUUGGACUUUUUCAAACUUUCAACUUUUAGAAGACUAACAUUUUCUUUAAAAUAUAUGUUGCUUUUCUCUGUUAUUUAUGGGUUAUUUAGCCAACAAUUUGUGAUUGAAGCUGUGUGUCCAAGCAAUUGGAGCUUCUGAAUUUAAUAAAAACAAAUCUUCACCAUUUGGUU
rnacentral:lncRNA from 1 species